GCCUAAUACAUGCAAGUCGAACGCCCUCUUCGGAGGGAGUGGCAGACGGGUGAGUAACGCGUGGGAAUCUACCCGGUUCUACGGAACAACUCAGGGAAACUUGAGCUAAUACCGUAUACGCCCCUCUUUGGUGGACUUUGAGGGGGGAAGAUUUAUCGGAAUCGGAUGAGCCCGCGCCGGAUUAGCUAGUUGGUGAGGUAACGGCUCACCAAGGCGACGAUCCGUAGCUGGUCUGAGAGGAUGAUCAGCCACAUUGGGACUGAGACACGGCCCAAACUCCUACGGGAGGCAGCAGUGGGGAAUAUUGGACAAUGGGCGAAAGCCUGAUCCAGCCAUGCCGCGUGAGUGAUGACGGCCCUAGGGUUGUAAAGCUCUUUCACCGGUGAAGAUAAUGACGGUAACCGGAGAAGAAGCCCCGGCCAACUACGUGCCAGCAGCCGCGGUAAUACGUAGGGUGCAAGCGUUGUCCGGAAUUAUUGGGCGUAAAGAGCUCGUAGGCGGUCUGUCGCGUCGGCUGUGAAAACUCGGGGCUCAACUCCGAGCUUGCAGUCGAUACGGGCAGGCUAGAGUUCGGCAGGGGAGACUGGAAUUCCUGGUGUAGCGGUGAAAUGCGCAGAUAUCAGGAGGAACACCGGUGGCGAAGGCGGGUCUCUGGGCCGAUACUGACGCUGAGGAGCGAAAGCGUGGGGAGCGAACAGGAUUAGAUACCCUGGUAGUCCACGCCGUAAACGUUGGGCGCUAGGUGUGGGAUCCCUUCCACGGGUUCCGUGCCGCAGCUAACGCAUUAAGCGCCCCGCCUGGGGAGUACGGCCGCAAGGCUAAAACUCAAAGGAAUUGACGGGGGCCCGCACAAGCGGCGGAGCAUGUGGAUUAAUUCGAUGCAACGCGAAGAACCUUACCUGGGUUUGACAUACACCGGAAAGCCGUGGAGACAUGGCCUCCGCAAGGCCGGUGUACAGGUGGUGCAUGGCUGUCGUCAGCUCGUGUCGUGAGAUGUUGGGUUAAGUCCCGCAACGAGCGCAACCCUCGUCCCAUGUUGCCAGCGGGUUAUGCCGGGGACUCAUGGGAGACUGCCGGGGUCAACUCGGAGGAAGGUGGGGACGACGUCAAGUCAUCAUGCCCCUUAUGUCCAGGGCUUCACACAUGCUACAAUGGCCGGUACAAAGGGCUGCUAAGCCGUAAGGUGGGGCGAAUCCCACAAAGCCGGUCUCAGUUCGGAUCGGGGUCUGCAACUCGACCCCGUGAAGUCGGAGUCGCUAGUAAUCGCAGAUCAGCAACGCUGCGGUGAAUACGUUCCCGGGCCUUGCACACACCGCCCGUCACA
rnacentral:rRNA from 1 species